GAUGAACGCUGGCGGCGUGCCUAAUACAUGCAAGUCGAGCGAACAGAUGAGGAGCUUGCUCCUCUGACGUUAGCGGCGGACGGGUGAGUAACACGUGGAUAACCUACCUAUAAGACUGGGAUAACUUCGGGAAACCGGAGCUAAUACCGGAUAAUAUAUUGAACCGCAUGGUUCAAUAGUGAAAGACGGUUUUGCUGUCACUUAUAGAUGGAUCCGCGCCGCAUUAGCUAGUUGGUAAGGUAACGGCUUACCAAGGCAACGAUGCGUAGCCGACCUGAGAGGGUGAUCGGCCACACUGGAACUGAGACACGGUCCAGACUCCUACGGGAGGCAGCACUAGGGAAUCUUCCGCAAUGGGCGAAAGCCUGACGGAGCAACGCCGCGUGAGUGAUGAAGGUCUUCGGAUCGUAAAACUCUGUUAUUAGGGAAGAACAAAUGUGUAAGUAACUAUGCACGUCUUGACGGUACCUAAUCAGAAAGCCACGGCUAACUACGUG
rnacentral:rRNA from 1 species